rnacentral:rRNA from 1 species
AGUACUCCUACGGGGAGGCAGCAGUGGGGGAAUAUUGCACAAUGGGCGCAAGCCUGAUGCAGCCAUGCCGCGUGUGUGAAGAAGGACCUUCGGGUUGUAAAGCACUUUCAGUCGUGAGGAAGGUAGUGUAGUUAAUAGCUGCAGUAUUUGACGUUAGCGACAGAAGAAGCACCGGCUAACUCCGUGCCAGCAGCCGCGGUAAUACGGAGGGUGCGAGCGUUAAUCGGAAUUACUGGGCGUAAAGCGCAUGCAGGUGGUUUGUUAAGUCAGAUGUGAAAGCCCGGGGCUCAACCUCGGAAUAGCAUUUGAAACUGGCAGACUAGAGUACUGUAGAGGGGGGUAGGAAUUUCAGGUGUAGCGGUGAAAUGCGUAGAGAUCUGAAGGAAUACCGGUGGCGAAGGCGGCCCCCUGGACAGAUACUGACACUCAGAUGCGAAAGCGUGGGGAGCAAACAGGAUUAGAUACCCUGGUAG